rnacentral:rRNA from 1 species
UACAGAGGUCCCAAGCGUUGUUCGGAUUCACUGGGCGUAAAGGGUGCGUAGGCGGCCGGGUAAGUCUGCUGUGAAAUCCCGCAGCUCAACUGCGGAACUGCAUUGGAAACUAUCCGGCUAGAGGAAUGGAGGGGAGACUGGAAUUCUCGGUGUAGCAGUGAAAUGCGUAGAUAUCGAGAGGAACACCAGUGGCGAAGGCGAGUCUCUGGACAUUUCCUGACGCUGAGGCACGAAAGCCAGGGGAGCAAACGGG